AUUGAACGCUGGCGGCAUGCCUUACACAUGCAAGUCGAACGGCAGCACGGGAGCAAUCCUGGUGGCGAGUGGCGAACGGGUGAGUAAUAUAUCGGAACGUGCCCAGUCGUGGGGGAUAACGUAGCGAAAGCUACGCUAAUACCGCAUACGAUCUAUGGAUGAAANCGGGGGAUCGCAAGACCUCGCGCGAUUGGAGCGGCCGAUAUCAGAUUAGGUAGUUGGUAAGGUAAGGGCUCACCAAGCCGACGAUCUGUAGCUGGUCUGAGAGGACGACCAGCCACACUGGGACUGAGACACGGCCCAGACUCCUACGGGAGGCAGCAGUGGGGAAUUUUGGACAAUGGGCGCAAGCCUGAUCCAGCAAUGCCGCGUGCAGGAUGAAGGCCUUCGGGUUGUAAACUGCUUUUGUACGGAACGAAACGGUGAGCUCUAAUACAGUUUGCUAAUGACGGUACCGUAAGAAUAAGCACCGGCUAACUACGUG
rnacentral:rRNA from 1 species